ensembl:lncRNA
GGCCCAUAGGGCUGGAAGGGUUAAGGAGUGCUGGGUACUUCACGUGCCAGCUGGUGAGGGAUGUAAUUAACGAAUAUUGGCUUCAGGUGUGAGCAUGACUGAUUUAUAGCAGCUUCGCAGGGGGUGGCACAGGUUGUAAUGAGUGGGGUUGCGUUUGCCCUGCUGGCCGAAGCCAUAGGGUGUGUGAGGGAAUGCCUGCAGGACGCAGGCUGGUCGUUGGUGUGUGCUGUUAAGAACCAAAAUACUCUUAAGAGCAGAGGUAAUGGGGGCCAAAUGGUUACAGCAGUGAAUUGCUGACUUAGGAAACAGCACUGACACCCCGUGGUACGGACACGCAGUGGCUGCACCUGAUGGCCUCAAUCAGCCCCUCCAAGUCUGUGCCCUUCCGGCUGUGACUCAGAACAGAAAGCAAAGGGCACCUCUGUGUGGUAAGGAUAAGGAUCUGUGAGAGCAGGUGCUGUGUGACACUGAGUUUGCCCUCUGAUUGCUGUUUCCAUAACCUCAUUUCUUCCCAAACAAUGCAUCCAGAAAAGGUGGAUUUUCAAGAACACAACAGAAACUUUCCCUAAAAGUUUUUGUUCCCUUGGGCAAACAAAAGCCGACAGUGCAGCUUAUGAAGGAGCCCUGGAUCUGCUCUCGGAACGCUCUGUUCCCUGGGAAGGAAGGUGUGUUACGUGGCCCUGUGACUCUCAUCCAUCACAUGACUGCAGUGCAGCAUGGAGAGACCUUUGAGUUUCCAUGGGACAAGGACACACUGCUCUGUAUGGAGAGCACCUUGAACAGCUUCAGCAAGGGCGGUGCUCCGGGGAGUUUGCCUCUCAGCUGUGGGUGCUGUCCUCAGUGAGCAGAACAGCACACCCUGCAGUGAGGCUGCAGCUGUGGUGCUUUCCUACUCCAUGACACAAUUGAAGGAUUGGUGCAUUCUCCUGAACAGUCUUUGGGGAUUCGUUGUAUUGCCCUCAGACUGCCUGCCUGGCUGGAGGGGGGGGUUUGAAGACCAGGAACAGCAUUAGGAAUCAGCUGCUGGGGGAUGUUUGGGCUCUCGUUAGUGCUUUGAUGACCUGCAGAUGCUCUCAAUGAGCUGCAUGUUCUGAUGGAUCAGGUCGGCAGCUCGGAGUGCUGGACCCCUGAGCUGAGGGGCAGCCCCCAUCCAGCCUCACCCCGAGGUGUGGGGUUGGUGCCUAUGGGAGGAGGAGAUGCUUUGUAGCUGUUACAGCUGCUGUCCAGUGGCACUCUGUCUGUUAGUCUGAGGUGCUUUCAGUUCAUUUUGAAAGAACUGUGAAUUCUAAAUAUCUGGCGUGAAAAAUAACGACUUCGCUCCUGGAAAUGGUUUUGGUUUGUGCAAGCUGGGUGUAAGCAUUGUGAUAAAUGUCUGACAACUAAAAACUCCAUAUCAUUUGCUAACAUAUUGCACUCCAACAGCAGCUGGAGAACUCUGCAAAGGAGGCCUGAGUGGUGUAAAUAAGUCACAUUCAGCAGUUGGUGGCACUAAAUGUGGAUUUAUCAGUUAAAAAGGACAGCAGUGUGCUGGGAAGUGCCCAAUGGCACCGUGGGGCUGUGCUGCUAUGGCCACCCGGUGACUCCAUGCCCAAUGCGUGCAGGUUGGAAGCAAAAAGGCAGCUUUCCUGGCUGCCAGCUUCGGUGGCUCCAUCUGGGAUCUCAAAUCCAUGCUGUGUCUUUCCUGACUCUGCUGCUAAUAAUAAAGGC